rnacentral:rRNA from 1 species
UACGUAGGGUGCGAGCGUUGUCCGGAAUUAUUGGGCGUAAAGAGCUUGUAGGCGGUUUGUCGCGUCUGCCGUGAAAUUCGAGCUCAACCUCGAACUUGCGGUGGGUACGGGCAGACUAGAGUGUGGUAGGGGAGACUGGAAUUCCGUGGUGUAGGCGGUGAAAUGCGCAGAUAUCAAGGAGGAACACCGAUGGCGAAGGCAGGUCUCUGGGCCACUACUGACGCUGAGAAGCGAAAGCUGGGGAGCGAACAGGAUAGA